UUCAGCUAUUUAAAUAGACCUCUUACAAUUUUAAAACCCUAUUUUGUUCAUUCUUUUGUUUUCUAAACUAAACCCUAGCCGUCUUGCACUCUAGAACGUCAUGUGGUAUCGUCUUCAUCAUUCCUCCCAUCCCUCCCAAAUCCAAGUUAUGUUGAGAUUGGUUACGUCUCAAUCUCUAAACUCGUCGUCCUUGGAAAUCCUAAAGCGUCGGAAUUAUACGACCCGACUACUGUUCGUGCUCCAAAGGCGAACCCGGAUUAGUUGCUUGCCGGUUAUCACGUGGAUUAGCAAGCAGGUUAUGAUCUGAGAGAGUCUGGUGAUCUCCGCAUUUACUUUUCCUCGGAGGUUCCAUUUAUUUUAAUAGAACUAUCAAACUAUUUUAUUCUUAGACCGCAGUAGUUGACUAGACGUCUUUAUUAUUAUUACAGUUGUUUGUCGGAUUGGUCCGACUAGUUAUAUUGCUCUGGUAUGUUACAUUAUUUGCAUUGAUUUAUGUUAUGCCGAUUUUUAGACUCA